rfam:Triticum aestivum genome assembly, contig: Triticum_aestivum_CS42_TGACv1_scaffold_576967_7BL
UAAAUACUCCCUUCGUCCGAAAAUGCUUGCCAUUAAAAUGGAUAAAAAGAGAUGUAUCUAAAACUAAAAUACGUCUAGAUACAUUUCCUUUUAUCCAUUUUGAUGACAAGUAUUUCCAGACGAAGGGAGUAUUUG